AGAGAGCGCUGUACAGCAUGGAAUGUGCGUUCCACCCCCUGUUCAGUCUCACCAGUGGGGCCUGCCGGCUGGAUUACCGCAGACCCGAGAACAGGAGCUUCUACCUGGCCCUCUACAAGCAGAUGAGCUUCCUGGAGAAGCGAGGCUGCCCGCGCACGGCGCUGGAGUACUGCAAGCUCAUCCUGAGGUGAGUGUCUGCUCAGGGCCAAGCCCGUCCACGCUCCCUGUCCUGGCUGCAGGCCCACUCUCAGCCUGACGAUGCCCCUGUUCCCCUUUGCUCUGCUCUCUGUGCUGCCUCCGGAAGUCUCGAGCCGGAUGAGGACCCCCUCUGCAUGCUGCUGCUCAUCGACCACCUGGCCUUGCGGGCCCGGAA
rnacentral:sRNA from 1 species